UACGGGGGGAGCAAGCGUUGUUCGGAAUCACUGGGCGUAAAGGGAGUCUAGGCGGUUUGGUAAGUGGGAUGUGAAAUCCCCGGGCUCACCCCGGGACCUGCAUCCCAAACUGCUGAGCUUGAGUACAGGAGAGGGUGGGGGAAUUCCAGGUGUAGCGGUGAAAUGCGUAGAUAUCUGGAGGAACACUGGUGGCGAAGGCGCCCACCUGGCCUGCUACUGACGCUGAAGCUCGAAAGCUAGGGGAGCAAACGGG
rnacentral:rRNA from 1 species